rnacentral:rRNA from 1 species
GAUGAACGCUAGCGGCAGGCUUAAUACAUGCAAGUCGUGGGGCAGCAGGACUGUAGCCAUACAGUUGCUGGCGACCGGCACACGGGUGCGGAACACGUACGCAACUUACCCUGAACUGGGGGAUAGCCCGGGGAAACCCGGAUUAAUACCCCGUAAUAUAAUGGAGUGGCAUCACUUUAUUAUUAAAGCUCCGGCGGUUCGGGAUGGGCGUGCGGCUGAUUAGGUAGUUGGUUGAGGUAACGGCUCACCAAGCCUACGAUCAGUAACUGGUGUGAGAGCACGACCAGUCACACGGGCACUGGGACACGGGCCCGACUCCUACGGGGGGCAGGAGAAAGGAAUAUUGGGAAAGGGAGGCAACUCUGACCCAGCCAUGCCGCGUGGAGGAUGAAGGCCCUUGGGGUUGAAAACUUCUUUUAUAGGGGACGAAACCUGUGUAUUCUUACGCAGUUGACGGUACCCAAGGAAUAAGCACCGGCUAACCCCGU